rnacentral:tRNA from 1 species
GGUGGCUCAGUGGUAGAGCACUUGCCUUGCAUCCAUGGGGCUCUGGGUUCGAUUCCUCAGCACCA